UACGUAGGUGGCAAGCGUUGUCCGGAAUUACUGGGUGUAAAGGGAGCGCAGGCGGAACUGCAAGUUGGGUGUUUAAUCUACGGGCUCAACCCGUAUCAGCAUUCAAAACUGUGGUUCUUGAGUAAUGCAGAGGUAGGCGGAAUUCCCGGUGUAGCGGUGGAAUGCGUAGAUAUCGGGAGGAACACCAGUGGCGAAGGCGGCCUACUGGGCAUCAACUGACGCUGAGGCUCGAAAGCAUGGAUAGCAAACAGGAUUAGAUACCCUGGUAGUCCAUGCCGUAAACGAUGAUUACUAGGUGUGGGGAGAUUGACCCUCUCCGUGCCGCAGUUAACACAAUAAGUAAUCCACCUGGGGAGUACGACCGCAAGGUUGAAACUCAAAGGAAUUGACGGGGGCCCGCACAAGCAGUGGAGUAUGUGGUUUAAUUCGAAGCAACGCGAAGAACCUUACCAGGUCUUGACAUCCAACGACCGCCUAAGAGAUUAGGCUUUCCUUCGGGACGUUGAGACAGGUGGUGCAUGGUUGUCGUCAGCUCGUGUCGUGAGAUGUUGGGUUAAGUCCCGCAACGAGCGCAACCCUUAUUACUAGUUACUACGCAAGAGGACUCUAGUGAGACUGCCGUUGACAAAACGGAGGAAGGUGGGGAUGACGUCAAAUCAUCAUGCCCUUUAUGACCUGGGCUACACACGUACUACAAUGGCUAUUAACAGAGAGAAGCGAGACCGCAAGGUGGAGCAAACCUCAGAAAAAUAGUCUCAGUUCGGAUUGGGGGCUGCAACCCGCCCCCAUGAAGCCGGAAUUGCUAGUAAUCGCGGAUCAGCAUGCCGCGGUGAAUACGUUCCCGGGCCU
rnacentral:rRNA from 1 species